rnacentral:rRNA from 1 species
GAGUUUGAUCCUGGCUCAGGAUGAACGCUGGCGGCGUGCCUAAUACAUGCAAGUCGAGCGAACUGAUUAGAAGCUUGCUUCUAUGACGUUAGCGGCGGACGGGUGAGUAACACGUGGGCAACCUGCCUGUAAGACUGGGAUAACUUCGGGAAACCGAAGCUAAUACCGGAUAGGAUUUUCUCCUUCAUGGGAGAUUAUUGAAAGAUGGUUUCGGCUAUCACUUACAGAUGGGCCCGCGGUGCAUUAGCUAGUUGGUGAGGUAACGGCUCACCAAGGCAACGAUGCAUAGCCGACCUGAGAGGGUGAUCGGCCACACUGGGACUGAGACACGGCCCAGACUCCUACGGGAGGCAGCAGUAGGGAAUCUUCCGCAAUGGACGAAAGUCUGACGGAGCAACGCCGCGUGAGUGAUGAAGGCUUUCGGGUCGUAAAACUCUGUUGUUAGGGAAGAACAAGUACGAGAGUAACUGCUCGUACCUUGACGGUACCUAACCAGAAAGCCACGGCUAACUACGUGCCAGCAGCCGCGGUAAUACGUAGGUGGCAAGCGUUAUCCGGAAUUAUUGGGCGUAAAGCGCGCGCAGGCGGUUUCUUAAGUCUGAUGUGAAAGCCCACGGCUCAACCGUGGAGGGUCAUUGGAAACUGGGGAACUUGAGUGCAGAAGAGAAAAGCGGAAUUCCACGUGUAGCGGUGAAAUGCGUAGAGAUGUGGAGGAACACCAGUGGCGAAGGCGGCUUUUUGGUCUGUAACUGACGCUGAGGCGCGAAAGCGUGGGGAGCAAACAGGAUUAGAACCCUGGUAGUCCACGCCGUAAACGAUGAGUGCUAAGUGUUAGAGGGUUUCCGCCCUUUAGUGCUGCAGCUAACGCAUUAAGCACUCCGCCUGGGGAGUACGGUCGCAAGACUGAAACUCAAAGGAAUUGACGGGGGCCCGCACAAGCGGUGGAGCAUGUGGUUUAAUUCGAAGCAACGCGAAGAACCUUACCAGGUCUUGACAUCCUCUGACAACUCUAGAGAUAGAGCGUUCCCCUUCGGGGGACAGAGUGACAGGUGGUGCAUGGUUGUCGUCAGCUCGUGUCGUGAGAUGUUGGGUUAAGUCCCGCAACGAGCGCAACCCUUGAUCUUAGUUGCCAGCAUUCAGUUG